rnacentral:rRNA from 1 species
AUUGAACGCUGGCGGCAUGCCUUACACAUGCAAGUCGAACGGUAACGGGCCUUCGGGUGCCGACGAGUGGCGAACGGGUGAGUAAUGUAUCGGAACGUACCUUUCAGUGGGGGAUAACGUAGCGAAAGUUACGCUAAUACCGCAUAUUCUGUGAGCAGGAAAGCAGGGGAUCGCAAGACCUUGCGCUGAUUGAGCGGCCGAUAUCAGAUUAGCUAGUUGGUGAGGUAAAGGCUCACCAAGGCGACGAACUGUAGCGGGUCUGAGUGGAUGAUCCGCCACACUGGAACUGAGACACUGUCCAGACACCUACGGGAGGCAGCAGUGGGGAAUUUUGGAAAAUGGGGGCAACCCUGAUCCAGCCAUGCCGCGUGAGUGAAGAAGGCCUUCGGGUGGUAAAGCUCUUUCGGCCGGGAAGAAAUCGUAUCAGCUAAUACCUGGUGCGGAUGACGGUACCGGCAUAAGAAGCACCGGCUAGCUACGUGCCAGCCGCCGCAGUAAUAC